GGGGUUGUAGCCUAGUGGUCGGAGCGUCGGAUUCACGACUUGAAGGUUGGGGGUUCGAUUCCCGAUCCCA
rnacentral:tRNA from 1 species